rnacentral:tRNA from 1 species
UCCGGCAUGGUCUAGUGGCUAGGAUACCUGGCUCUCACCCAGGAGGCCCGGGGUCGAUUCCCGGUGUCGGAA